UACAGAGGGUGCGAGCGUUAAUCGGAAUUACUGGGCGUAAAGGGUGCGUAGGUGGUUUUGUAAGUUAGAUGUGAAAUCCCCGGGCUCAACCUGGGAACUGCAUUUGUGACUGCAUGGCUGGAGUGCGGCAGAGGGGGAUGGAAUUCCGCGUGUAGCAGUGAAAUGCGUAGAUAUGCGGAGGAACACCGAUGGCGAAGGCAAUCCCCUGGGCCUGCACUGACGCUCAUGCACGAAAGCGUGGGGAGCAAACAGG
rnacentral:rRNA from 1 species